ACGAACGCUGGCGGCGUGCUUAACACAUGCAAGUCGAACGGAAAGGCCCUGCUUUUGUGGGGUGCUCGAGUGGCGAACGGGUGAGUAACACGUGAGUAACCUGCCCUUGACUUUGGGAUAACUUCAGGAAACUGGGGCUAAUACCGGAUAGGAGCUCCUGCUGCAUGGUGGGGGUUGGAAAGUUUCGGCGGUUGGGGAUGGACUCGCGGCUUAUCAGCUUGUUGGUGGGGUAGUGGCUUACCAAGGCUUUGACGGGUAGCCGGCCUGAGAGGGUGACCGGCCACAUUGGGACUGAGAUACGGCCCAGACUCCUACGGGAGGCAGCAGCGGGGAAUAUUGCACAAUGGGCGGAAGCCUGAUGCAGCAACGCCGCGUGCGGGAUGACGGCCUUCGGGUUGUAAACCGCUUUCGCCUGUGACGAAGCGUGAGUGACGGUAAUGGGUAAAGAAGCACCGGCUACUACGUG
rnacentral:rRNA from 1 species